rnacentral:rRNA from 1 species
CAGCAGCCACGGUAAUACGUAGGUCCCGAGCGUUAUCCGGAUUUAUUGGGCGUAAAGCGAGCGCAGGCGGUUAGAUAAGUCUGAAGUUAAAGGCUGUGGCUUAACCAUAGUACGCUUUGGAAACUGUUUAACUUGAGUGCAGAAGGGGAGAGUGGAAUUCCAUGUGUAGCGGUGAAAUGCGUAGAUAUAUGGAGGAACACCGGUGGCGAAAGCGGCUCUCUGGUCUGUAACUGACGCUGAGGCUCGAAAGCGUGGGGAGCAAACAGGAUUAGAUACCCCGGUAGUCCCUGUCUUUAUACAA